UACAGAGGGUGCGAGCGUUAAUCGGAAUUACUGGGCGUAAAGCGCGCGUAGGCGGCUUUUCAAGUCGAUUGUGAAAUCCCCGGGCUUAACCUGGGAACUGCAGUCGAGACUGUCUAGCUAGAGUAUGGGAGAGGGAAGUGGAAUUUCAGGUGUAGCGGUGAAAUGCGUAGAUAUCUGAAGGAACAUCAGUGGCGAAAAGCGACUUCCUGGACCAAUACUGACGCUCAUGUGCGAAAGCGUGGGGAGCAAACAGG
rnacentral:rRNA from 1 species